GAAGAUGAAUAGAUUCAUCCCCAAUUCAAAUUCCAAGUUACGCCACUUCCGGCGUCUCCGUGAACACCUCACCUAUCCGUCGCCCUCCUCAAACAACACAGCAGACGCUCACCCGCUCCACAUCUUAUGGCACUACCAGAUCCUCGAUCCGGACAGCGAUAUUGUCACCUAUUGGAACUACGUCUUCCUUAUUACCUCCAUCAUUGCUCUCUUCAUCGAUCCUUUGUUCUUCUUCCUCCCUUACGUCGAUGCCGACGGCGUCUGCUUGAGCAA
rnacentral:misc_RNA from 1 species